GCGAACAUGGUGAAGUGGUUAACACAUUGGAUUGUGGUCCCAACAUGCGUGGGUUCGAUUCCCACUGUUCGCCCCA
rnacentral:tRNA from 1 species